rnacentral:lncRNA from 1 species
UCCUAUAAAAGGGCACACACUUACACCAAAUUUGUACCAUCCACAGUAUCAUUCACUAGCUAUACCUUAACAAUAAUGUCUCUCAAAUUCCUGCUGGUGGUGUCCCUGUGUGUGCUGGUUGUCACCACUUGUUCUCUUGCUGAUCAUGAUCACCAUAAACCACCACACAAUAGUUAUUAACCAAAACUGAUAUCUCACAUUGAAUUGUAUCACAAACUAGUUCAAUAACCAUGUAUAUAUUUUUUUGUUUUCUGGUUAUUGUAAUCUUAAAUUUCCAUCUUUGCUAUCGAAUCACGUUUGGCAUCAACAGAUUCAAUACUGGUUUAAGUGUGAGUCUAAAUAUUUAUAUAGUGGGAUAACUAGUGAAAAUGAGUUCACAAUAUCCAUCCUUAAAUACAAAGAAACUGAAGAUUUUACAUCUUCAGGAAUAUUCGUCAGCUUGUGUAGAAAAGCAUAUGCUAAAGAGUAGCUCAAAGUAGAGGUGUCAAAUAGAUUAGGCUAGCCUGAGCACAUCAUGAGUUCAGUUCAAUUAAAUAAAACGCAAUACACUAUGUUUUGUAUUUUUAGAUGGAUCAAAAUGACCCAAUUCAAUUCAAUUGGCCGAGUCGGCCAGAGACCCGUUGUGGGUCGUGCUGGCCUAAAGUCCAACGGGCCGGCCCAUUUAAAUUUGACAAUGGAAGCUACGAAUACGGGGUUCAACAGAAAAAAAAUUCCCCAAUCUUACUGCCUAUGAGCAGUGUGAGUUAAAUGAUCAUUACAUCACCAAUUAUGUCUUUGUCAUGGACUAACUGGUGGACAUUGUGACGGAUGUGGAAUUGUUUCCUGAGAGUGGAAUCCUUGAAUCUAAGCUACUAGAUUGCGAAAAAACAGCAAAAUUUAUUAACUCCUUGACUUCGACAUUAUUCAAUUCAGUAGAAAAUCUUAUUUCGCCAAUCUUUGCGACGAAUUGAAUAACUACUAUAAAGAGCGUUGGCACCAUUGGAAGUAGAGUGUCAAACAGGUCGGGCCGGCCCAAGCAAGGUAUGAAUUUGGGCUGACUGUGUACGGCUUGACACAACAUGACUAGUAUUUUUGGGUGGGCCAUGAUGAGGAAAUUUGGUCCAAUGGGUUAAGCCUACUCGAAGCCCAACGGGCCGGCCCAUUUAAAGCUCAUUUAUUAAAUUAUAUUUAUUUUAGAGAAAAUUAUUACAUAAUAUUAUUAUAUUUGUAUAUUAAAUUCAAGUAUGUUUCUUUUUUCUAAUAAUAUAUUUUAAAAUACAAUGUUUUUUCUUUAUAAAUAAAAUCAUUAUUUUUAUUUUUCAAUUUUUUAAACCGAACAAUAAUCUAGUUAUUUUCUAUUUUAAUGUACUUCAAAUAAGUCAUUCGCUUUUUUUUUUUUUCAACAAAUAAUAAAUCUUGUUAGUAUAUACAUAUUUAUAAAUAAAAUAUAAAUAAAAUUGACAAAAAAAUGCAAUUGACACCUCAAGCUCAAAUGUAACAGACAAAAGGAGAGUAUAAAUGGCUGAUCAACUUGGCGAAAUAGCUAGGGAUAGAAAGGGGAAAGGGCUAAACUUAAUUAGGUAGCAAAAUGAAACUUGGCAACGAUAACAAUAAUAGAAAAGGAAAAGGGGAAAGGAAGGAAGUAAAAAGUUAGAAAACACAAAGAAAAAGCUAACACUAAUAUAUUCAAAAAGUAUAUGGAAAAAGUAUAAUUAAAAAAAAAAAAGAAAAAAAAAAGGAACCCAAUAGUCAAGGUUCAUUUUCAAGGAAUGUGAAAAUGGUACUUGGGCGAAAGGGGUAAAUUUAAACUAUAACUAGAGUAUAGAAGGAUAGAAUAAAUACAAUGUUCUUGAACAAUAUAUGACUAGUCAGCAACUGGUCAUGGACUUGAGAUUAAUAUACACAAAAUCACACGUACAUACAACAAACAAUUAUCAAGUCCUUAUAGACCUAGAAGAAAACUAGGUGACAACCUAAGCACUUAGAAGCACUGGUGGACCCAGAAAUUUUUUAGCGGAGGUGCAAUAUUGACUAAGUAUGAAAAAUGGUUUUUUGGAAUAAUCAUUUUCUCAAGAUAAUUUUUGGCGGCUUUUAUUCCUUACACAUCAAAUAAGAAAACUUGAUUUUAUGGGAUUUUAGUAUGAAGUAUAUAUUUACUUAAUGAGCUAUCAUUUUUAGCCUAAAUCAUAUUUUGCACUAAAACCGAAUUUUCAUUUUUUGAUUUGGUGGGAAUUUGAUUUUCUAAUAUUUUUAUUUGAAUCCAAAUAGGGGGUACUUCCUUAUUUACAUUGUAAACUUAAGUAAAUGGAGUAAUAUAAAAAUAAAUAAAAGUAAAUGGACAAAGACAUUUACUUAAAUGUUGGAAAUAGAAAUAAAGUAAUCUGUACACCAGUUGAGCAAAGGAACAAUUUGAAGCACCUACAAUGAUUUUUCCGGUUAGGGGAGGUGCAGUCUACCAGUGCUUAGAAGGAUCCAUCCAUCAUCUAGGCGUUUUAUAUGCUUGGUGAUAUGUGUGUCAGCAUGCAUUAAAUCUGAAAUAGGAAUGAAUAACAAAAGAUGAUUAGGUAGCAAUAUGAAAUAGCUAGGGAUAAAAAGGGGAAAGGGCUAGGUAGCAAAAUGAAACUUGGCAACGAUAACAAUAAUAAAAAAGGAAAGAAGAGGGGGGGAGGGGGGUUGGUUUCAAAAGACAAAGAAAAAGCUAACACUAAUAUUCAAAAAGUAUAGGGAAAAAGGAAAAAAAAAACGAAAGGAACCAACUAGUCACAAAGAAGGUUCAUUUUCAAGGGAGGAAAAAGAUGUAGAAUGUAUUGCGUAUAUGCUUUUUUCGUUAACAAUAUUAGCCCCCCGAUGGUUAAAAAAAGAUUUCUGUUUUGUAAAGAGGUUCUCUUAAAAGAAAGCCGAUUGCCAUAUUAUACAUAAUUAAGAGGUAGAAUUUGAUUGUCGACAUGCUUAUAAUAUUAACUUUAUCCAUAAAACUUUACCAAAAGGUGGAUAUGCCAUCCGGUUAAUGCAGGAAAUUAGACUGUCUUUAGUUUUGUACCUAUCUAAUUUGCAAUUACGUGUUGAUGUAAAACUCAAAUUGAUGCACCAUACGUUGUAGAUAGACCAGACGUUAAUAGACCAUGUAUACGUGUUUAUCUUUUUUAUCAGGGUCAUGAUGCUAGAUCUGUAUCCUUGAUUGUUCGUCAAUCCCAUGGUCUUUUGCAAAUGGAGAAGCAAGACCACUGCGUAGAAAUUAAGAGAAGCUUCAUCCUUGGUGCUUAUAAUUAUAAAGAAGUGUUAGGGUCAUCAGGGAUUGUUGACAAGUUCAUAUGAUUUGUUAGUGUUUCAUUUUCAAAUAUAACUUUUUAUAUGUAAAGAACUUCUAUCUCAAGUGGUUAAGAGCAGUUACCCUAUAUUUAAGGUCCUGUAUUCGAACUCCUACCCUAAUAUUUUAGUUGCGACAAUAGAGAAAGUGAGAGUCGAACACACAACAAUAAGUGAAAGAAUGCUCUUAAUUACUUUAUUCACAAAUUUGUUACAAUUUCACCUAAUAAUCCAACUUUUCAACUCGAUUGGUGGGCUGCGAAUGGUCCUAUCACUCUAUAAUUUAUGUAUCUGUAACUUUCCCAAGAGAAUUUACAAACUUUGGUCUAUAUAGAAAUCAAGUGCACAAACACAAGUGUCCUGACAUUAUUGGCCUCCAGUCCUAUAAAAGGGCACACACUUACACCAAAUUUGUACCAUCCACAAUAUCACUCACUAGCUAUACCUUAACAAUAAUGUCUCCCAAAUUCCUGCUGGUGGUGUCCCUGGGUGUGCUGCUUCUCACCACCUGUUCUCUUGCUGAUCAUGAUCACCAUAAACCUCCACAUAAACCACCACACAAGCCACCUCCUUUGGAAGCAGAAAACUCCGUUGAAUUGGAUGGCAAGCCUCCUAAGGGUCCGAGACCACCCCCAAAGCACAGGCCGCCAACACCGCUUGAUAAUGAGGCAGCAGUGCCAUUGAAGGAUGUCGAAGCCUCGUACAAGCCUCCAGGGAAGAAACCACCACAUAACCCCUACAAGCCACCCUACAAACCUCCUCCAUCAAACUAAGUGCAUGCAUGCCUAGCUAACUAAUUAUAUGUAGCUAGCUAGGUUAUUAUACAUCGACGUGUAUAAAAAAUAAGAGCUGCAUCUGCAUGCAUGAUGAUGUAAUAUUACUCUGUUAUUAGCUUUAUUUUACUACUACUGCUACUAGCUUAAGUUAUUCAUGCUGGAGCCCGUUUGUUGUUGUUAUGCACUUGUAUUUACUUACCAGUCAUGAGCACUGGCGAGUAGAUACAAACUUUAUAUAUAAAAAAAUUAAAUAAAUUAUGAUUGAUCAUAAUUCUAGUCGUGUCGAAUUUACUACUGAAUAAUGAUCAUAAGAGCCAAAUCAGAAAAAAUAAAUUUAAAAGCAUGUUACAAAAAAGAGGGAAAAAAAGAAGAAACGAAUUGGAGUUUUGGUCAAGAAGAAAAAAAAAAAAAAAAACCCAGCACAACAAACUUACGUUUUGGUGAAGAAGGAAAAAAAACGCAGCAAUAGCUGCGCAACCCAAUUGAUUUCUUUGUUUUUAAAAUCUUUUUGUAAUCCUUGUUUAAAUAAGAAAGCAAAACAUGUUUAAAGACUUUUGAAAGCCAACGAAAUGCAGGGCUAAGCAUGUUGUUGAAAGCCCGUAAACUGCAGUUUGCCUCCUCUUAAGUUUUUUUUUUUUCUCUGACCCAAAACGACGUCAUUUUGGCCAGGACUUUUAAAAAAAAAUUAGGCGUGCAGGCAGCAACGCAACGCAACAAAUAGACUUUGGUUGAGUCAUUUUGUCGAACACCUGGAGUGCACCACCACGAGCCGAGUAGAGGUGUAAUUUGAAGUACCUACAAUGGUUUUUCCGGUAGGGGGGAGUACAACUGCACCUUAUUGCGACUUAAUAGGUUAGUCACUGGUCAUGAGCAUGAAACAUACUCAACUUCAUGUUUAGCUAGCUUUUUAAUAAAUGUACUUACUACGUACUCUUGUGUAAUUUAAAAGAUGUAUCAUUAUAAUAAAUUAUAUAUAUAAGGAGUUUCAAUUGAGAGAUUCUCUAAAUAACGUUAUUUGAAAGAUAUUCUCGACUUUCUUUGAGCAAUACUUUGACAUUUCCAUUUGGCUAAAAACAGAAUGGAGUUAAAGGAUAUUGUAUACUAUAAACAAAUUGACACUUCUGUACAAUACGAUUGCGUACUUUUUAUGUUUAGAACUGAAAUCGAAUAAUUCACAUUCUUUAAUUGGAUUGUAUAUAAGAGUAGGGUCAUGGCGUAACUCUUCACCCCAUCGGAGAAGAUUGAAUGUAUGUCCAGAACCGAAAUUGUAAGUAACCCAAAUCAAUUCAAUUUGGGUUAGGGUUGGGGUUGAACCCAAAUUCAGUCAUUCGUUUCUUUGUUUCUUGUAUUUAUUUUCUUUAUAAGCUUUCGUUGCUUUGUUGUUUAAGCCCAAUAUUUCACAGGCUUGGCCUUCUUUUCUUUAAGAAAUUUUUUCGAACUUUUCUGCUUGAAACUAAUGAAAAUUUUGAACUUGUUGCCAAAAGAAAAAAUAAUAAUAAACUCUGCGAUGAUUAUCUUUGUAUCUUUAACUUUUUUCUUUUCUUUUUGGAGAUAAACUUUCUUUGUGUCUAUGAUGUGAGACACAGACACAAAGAAAGUCGGAGUAACGCACUAGAUAUAUACAGUUUGUCGCUAGACCAAAUUCCUACACUUGUCUCGACCAAAAAAAAUUAAAUUCUACACUUGAAAAUUAUAUGUACUGGUUUUUAUCUUUUUCAGCUAUGCGUCCUAAGAUUGGUCAUUUGCUUAUUAGUGGUUAAUUAUUGCAACUUCCCAAGAACCUGUUCCCAGUGCAACUUCUGUUGAUAAUCCAGCUUAACAACUAAAUUGGUGGAUUCUAAAAUGGGAGAUGAAAUUGUAUGUCACAGGGAUAACACUGUUUUGUUAUUAUUAUCCAAUUACGUUCUGUCAUGUAAAAUUCUUAUUAUGUAUGAAAGGACGUGAUUGGUUGGGAAUAACAAAAUAAUUUUAUACCUGUGAUAUACAAGUUUUUCUCCUAAAAUGGGCUAAGCAAAACAACAAAACUAUUUCCUAAAUUUGUCCACCAAAUUUUGUGUCUAAUAUAUGUUAAAAUGUCUUAUUUGUUGGAAAUAAAUAAAAUUGAAAAUGAUUCUUUCGUCCCGAAAAAGACUUGUUUAAAUUACGAUAAAUGAAUAAAUGUAGCAAUAGCAGUUACUUCUGCACCCAGAAUCUUGUGUUCUUCCCUCCUGAAAUAUUGACUUGUAUAUAAGAAAGAAGAGUAAAUAUGAACGCCUAUAUUAAUUAUAUUACUAUAUCCAAAAUGGAAAAAGAUUGGCUCCUUCAAAUUGAAGAGGAGUUCCUCCUUACAAUCAAUUAAUGUGUUUUUGACACGGGUCAAAUUAUUUUAUUUUAUUUUAUUUCUUGAAACUUUGUUAAUAUUGCUCGAAUUUGACAAGUCUCAAAACUCCAUUGAUUUUAAGGAGAAGCUCCUCCUUAAUUUUGAAGGAGCCAUGCUGAUUCAAAAUUCUCUGAUGGGAAAUGAGUGUCGUGGGAGGUAAGUGAGUGCCGAAUUCACAACUCACAGGAAAAAACCCAUACAUCAACUGCCUUUAUAUGUGGUCUAGAGUUGUUACCUCUUAUAAAAAAGAAAGACCAAGACUUCUAGUUUUGCACCAUCUAGAACUCAAUGCUCCAACUAGCUAGCUGGCCAUACAAUGUGUCCUAAAUCCCUGCAAUUGAUGUUGCUGCUCCUUGGUCUGCUUCUUCUCACCACUUGUAUUGGUGCUGAUCACCAUAGACCACCACAGAAGCUACCAAUUUAUAAGCGUCCUCCUCCUUUGGAAGCAGCAAACUCCCUUGAACAAGAGUUGCUGCCAUUUGGUGGCAAACGUAAGAGACCAAUGUCACCGCCCCCGAAGCACAAGCCACCUCCGCCCCAAAAACACAAGCCGCCGCCACCACCUACACCAAAACUCAACCCACACCCACCCCCAACCUCAGCCCACACACCAGCCCCAAACUUACGCCACACACAAACCU